UUGACCUCGGAUCAGGUAGGAAUACCCGCUGAACUUAAGCAUACU
rnacentral:rRNA from 1 species